GCCCGGUCGUAUAACGGCGAAUACUCCUGGUUUUGGUCCAGGCAAUGAGGGUUCGAUUCCUUCCCGGGCUG
rnacentral:tRNA from 1 species